GUGCCCGUAGCUCAGGUGGAUAGAGCGGUAGAUUCCUAAUCUGCAGGCCACUGGUUCGAGUCCAGUCGGGCACA
rnacentral:tRNA from 1 species